rnacentral:pre_miRNA from 1 species
AAUACAAGAGAUUUUGAGUUUUUGCUUGCAUUGUUUGACCACUCGUCUUAUUCAAAAAAAUUUGGAAUUAUUAUUUAUUUUUUUGUGACUUACUUUAUUAUCUAAAGUACUUUAAGCACAACUUUUCGUUUUUUAUAUUUGCACAAAUUUUUUGAAUAAGACGAGUGGUCAAACAGUGCAAACAGAAACUCAAAAUCUCUUAUA